rnacentral:rRNA from 1 species
UACGUAGGGUGCAAGCGUUGUCCGGAAUUAUUGGGCGUAAAGAGCUCGUAGGCGGCUUGUUGCGUCGACUGUGAAAACCCGUGGCUCAACCAUGUGGUCUGCAGUCGAUACGGGCAGGCUAGAAUUCGGUAGGGGAGACUGGAAUUCCUGGUGUAGCGGUGAAAUGCGCAGAUAUCAGGAGGAACACCGGUGGCGAAGGCGGUCUUCUGGACGGUGACUGACGCUGAGGCGCGAAAGCGUGGGGAGCAAACGGG